rnacentral:rRNA from 3 species
UACGAAGGUGGCAAGCGUUGUUCGGAUUUACUGGGCGUAAAGGGAGCGUAGGUGGUGGGGUAAGCCCCGCGGGAAAGCUCCAGGCUUAACCUGGAAAGGUCGCGGGGGACUGCUGCGCUAGAGGACGGGAGAGGAGCGCGGAAUUCCCGGUGUAGCGGUGAAAUGCGUAGAGAUCGGGAGGAAGGCCGGUGGCGAAGGCGGCGCUCUGGAACGGCCCUGACACUGAGGCUCGAAAGCGUGGGGAGCAAACAGG